AGUGAACGCUGGCGGCAGGCCUAACACAUGCAAGUCGAACGGCAGCACAGUAAGAGCUUGCCCUUACGGGUGGCGAGUGGCGGACGGGUGAGGAAUACAUCGGAAUCUACUUUUUCGUGGGGGCUAACGUAGGGAAACGUACGCUAAUACCGCAUACGACCUACGGUUGAAAGCAGGGGAUCUUCGGACUUUGCGCGAUUGAAGUAGCCGAUGUCGGAUUAGCUAGUUGGGGGGGUAAAGGCCCACCAAGGCGACGAUCCGUAGCUGGUCUGAGAGGAUGAUCAGCCACACUGGAACUGAGACACGGUCCAGACUCCUACGGGAGGCAACAGUGGGGAAUAUUGGACAAUGGGCGCAAGCCUGAUCCAGCCAUACCGCGUGGGUGAAGAAGGCCUUCGGGUUGUAAAGCCCUUUUGUUGGGAAAGAAAAGCAGCAGGUUAAUACCCCGCUGUUCUGACGGUACCCAAAGAAUAAGCACCGGCUAACUUCGUG
rnacentral:rRNA from 1 species